rnacentral:lncRNA from 1 species
GGAGGGCUCUUACCCUUUUAAGCACAAAGAUGGACUCCACAGACGAGGAACCUGAGCUCAUAUGCAAAGUUCCAAUCAAAACUCAGGCACACCAAAAAGUUUUAUAUAAAAUUAUCUUUAAAACUUUUAUUUUAGUACUUGGGAGAUAGAGACAGAAGAUCAGAAGUUCAGGGUCAUCUUAAACUGCUUUGUGAUUCAAGGCCAAAUUGGAUUAUUUGAAACCCUGUCUUGGCAGGGCGGUAGUGGAUCUUUGCAGAGGCAAUCUGAUCUCUGAGUUCAAGGACAGCCAGGGCUACAAGCAGAACCGUGACUCAAGGGGAAAAAAAGAAAAGGAAAACCCUUUCUCAGAAACGAAACUAGUGUGGUUGUCAGAUUGUACCUCUUUACUACCGCUACCUAGGAACUAGAGGCAGGCAGAUCUCUAAGAAUUUGAGGAUACCUGGUCUACAUAAUAAGUUCUAGUCCAGCCAUAGCAAAACCCUGUUUCAAGAAACCUCCUCCCAGAGAGAAAAUAAAACAAGUAAAAUAAAAUAAAAUUUACCUUGGGCUUUAUGUAAAGAUAAGUGUGUGAGCUACGUGAGGUGGUACUUGCCUAUGUCCCAACUCUGGUGGUUGAGACUGAAUUAGAGGGCAAGUGUGGGCUACGUACCAAGACACUGUCUCAAAGAAAGAAAAUUUAAAACAGGAGUGCUAGAGAUAUCUCAGAAUGUUUGCUUAGCAUACAUAAAUCCCUGGGUUCAAUUUUGAGCACAUUUUGCACUAAGCAUAAACCAGUGUCAUGUAUACAUCUGUAAUUCCAGCACUCAGAAAGCAAAGGUAGAAGGCUCAAGAUCCUGGACUUCAGAGUAACUUAUGGCUAGCCUGGCCUACAUGAGCUUGGGCUAAAAUUGAUACUACUACUACUACUACUACUAUUAUUAUUAUUAUUAUUAUUAUUGAAAUAUGAAGUGUUGUAUUUAGACUUCAGUCCUAUCCUUGAACUAUCUCUUAUAUGUGCAAAUAUUCC